ACCCUUCUCUCAUGUAAACAGGAGCACACAGACAUAAUAAAGGCUCUUAGUGUUUUACAGAGCCACAGUGCAGUGAAAAUACAACCAGAAUCAUGGACUGCAUUUCCAUACUGCUGGUUUUGGCAACUGCACCCUGUCUUUUCUGUAUUGAGCUGAAUCAGCCUCCUGUCAUGGUAGUAAAACCAGGAGAAACAUUUACUAUCACCUGUAAGAUCACUGGAUAUUCAGCUUCAGGCGGUGGCUAUACAAACUGGAUCAGACAUUCAAGUGGAAAACCGAUGGAAUGGAUUGGCUGGUUCUACACUUCCAGUAGCAAUCAUGUCGAAGAUUCACUGAAAAAUAAGAUCAGUUUCUCAUUUGAAUCCUCCAGCAACGCAGUCAUUUUAACAGGACAAAACUUCAACACUGAAGACACAGCUGUGUAUUAUUGUGCUCGCUAUACACUGUGCCACAAACUGCCACAGGACCUGCACAAGAACCUCUCUCUUCAAUGAAAACAUUUUCAAUAAAACAGUUUAUUUGUUGACAUAUUUAGAUCUUUCAGACUUUUAGUAGAGCUUAUGCAAAAAUACCAAAGUUUGUAUGCCAAAGAUAGAUUCAGGCUCAGCUCAGUCAGUGCAGGGCAGGUUCACAGCAUCUAAGGACAGCUCUAAUUUCUAUCUGCACAUGAAUCAGCUGAAGACUGAAGACACUGCGGUGUAUUACUGUGCAAGAUUUACUUUGUUUUCAGUCAGCUUUCA